rnacentral:rRNA from 1 species
GAUGAACGCUGGCGGCGUGCCUAAUACAUGCAAGUCGAGCGAACAGACGAGGAGCUUGCUCCUCUGACGUUAGCGGCGGACGGGUGAGUAACACGUGGAUAACCUACCUAUAAGACUGGGAUAACUUCGGGAAACCGGAGCUAAUACCGGAUAACAUGUUGAACCGCAUGGUUCAACAGUGAAAGACGGUCUUGCUGUCACUUAUAGAUGGAUCCGCGCCGCAUUAGCUAGUUGGUAAGGUAACGGCUUACCAAGGCAACGAUGCGUAGCCGACCUGAGAGGGUGAUCGGCCACACGGGAACUGAGACACGGUCCAGACUCCUACGGGAGGCAGCAGUAGGGAAUCUUCCGCAAUGGGCGAAAGCCUGACGGAGCAACGCCGCGUGAGUGAAGAAGGUCUUCGGAUCGUAAAACUCUGUUAUUAGGGAAGAACAAAUGUGUAAGUAACUAUGCACGUCUUGACGGUACCUAAUCAGAAAGCCACGGCUAACUACGUG